rnacentral:rRNA from 1 species
GCCCGCUCAGAAACUUAAAGGAAUUGACGGGGGAGCACCACAACAGGUGGAGCCUGCGGUUUAAUCGGACUCAACGCCGGGAAGCUCACCAGAUAAGACGGCUGAAUGAUAGUCGGGCUGAAGACUCUACUUGACUAGCUGAGAGGAGGUGCAUGGCCGUCGUCAGUUCGUACUGUGAAGCAUCCUGUUAAGUCAGGCAACGAGCGAGACCCACGCCAACAGUUGCCAGCUCGUCCUCCGGGAUGAUGGGGACACUGUUGGGACCGCCUCUGCUAAAGAGGAGGAAGGAAUGGGCAACGGUAGGUCAGCAUGCCCCGAAUUAUCCGGGCUACACGCGGGCUACAAUGGUCAGGACAAUGGGUAUCGACACCGAAAGGUGAAGGCAAUCUCCUAAACCCAUCCGUAGUUCGGAUUGUGGGCUGCAACUCGCCCACAUGAAGCUGGAAUCUGUAGUAAUCGUGUCUCAAAAUGGCACGGUGAAUAUGUCCCUGCUCCUU